rfam:Actinoalloteichus hoggarensis strain DSM 45943 chromosome, complete genome.
CGAGCCGGCCGGGCGGCCGCGACGGGGGUGACCCCGCCGAGGAAAGUCCGGACUCCGCAGGGCAGGGUGGUUGUUAACGGCAACCCGGAGUGAUCCGCGGGACAGUGCCACAGAAAACAGACCGCCGGGCCGUGCCCUCGGGCGCGGUCGGGUAAGGGUGAAACGGUGGUGUAAGAGACCACCAGCACCCCGGGUGACCGGGGUGGCUCGGUAAACCCCACCCGGAGCAAGGCCAAGAGGACGCCGGCGACGGCGUCUGCGCGAGCGUUCGAGGGCGGCCCGCCCGAUGCUCGCGGGUAGGCCGCUGGAGCCCGUCGGCGACGGCGGGCCUAGAUGGAUGGUCGCCGGUCGAGUCGCCGCGAGGCGGUUCGACGACAGAAUCCGGCUUAGAGGCCGGCUCGUCCU